rnacentral:rRNA from 1 species
UGGGGAAUAUUGGACAAUGGAGGAAACUCUGAUCCAGCAAUUCUGUGUGUGUGAAGAAGGUUUUAGGACUGUAAAACACUUUUAGUAGGGAAGAAAAAAAUGACGGUACCUACAGAAGAAGCAACGGCUAAAUACGUGCCAGCAGCCGCGGUAAUACGUAGGUGGCGAGCGUUAUCCGGAAUUAUUGGGCGUAAAGGGUGCGUAGGCGGCCUGUUAAGUAAGUGGUUAAAUUGUUGGGCUCAACCCAAUCCAGCCACUUAAACUGGCAGGCUAGAGUAUUGGAGAGGCAAGUGGAAUUCCAUGUGUAGCGGUAAAAUGCGUAGAUAUAUGGAGGAACACCAGUGGCGAAGGCGGCUUGCUAGCCAAAGACUGACGCUCAUGCACGAAAGCGUGGGGAGCAAAUAGG